CCUACAGGUGGCAGCAGUGGGGAAUAUUGGACAAUGGGGGCAACCCUGAUCCAGCCAUGCCGCGUGUGUGAAGAAGGCCCUCGGGUUGUAAAGCACUUUCAGUGAGGAAGAACGCCUGGUGGUUAAUACCCAUCAGGAAAGACAUCACUCACAGAAGAAGCACCGGCUAACUCCGUGCCAGCAGCCGCGGUAAUACGGAGGGUGCGAGCGUUAAUCGGAAUUACUGGGCGUAAAGCGCGCGUAGGUGGCUUGAUAAGCCGGUUGUGAAAGCCCCGGGCUCAACCUGGGAACGGCAUCCGGAACUGUCAAGCUAGAGUGCAGGAGAGGAAGGUAGAAUUCCCGGUGUAGCGGUGAAAUGCGUAGAGAUCGGGAGGAAUACCAGUGGCGAAGGCGGCCUUCUGGACUGACACUGACACUGAGGUGCGAAAGCGUGGGUAGCAAACAGGAUUAGAUACCCGUGUAGUC
rnacentral:rRNA from 1 species